rnacentral:rRNA from 1 species
UACGGAGGGUGCAAGCGUUAAUCGGAAUUACUGGGCGUAAAGCGUGCGCAGGCGGUUAUGCAAGACAGAUGUGAAAUCCCCGGGCUCAACCUGGGAACUGCAUUUGUGACUGCAUGGCUAGAGUACGGUAGAGGGGGAUGGAAUUCCGCGUGUAGCAGUGAAAUGCGUAGAUAUGCGGAGGAACACCGAUGGCGAAGGCAAUCCCCUGGACCUGUACUGACGCUCAUGCACGAAAGCGUGGGGAGCAAACAGG